GACGGACGCUGGCGGCGCGCUUAACACAUGCAAGUCGAGCGAGAACCUGGGCUUCGGCCCUGGGGACAGCGGCGAACGGGUGAGUAACACGUGGGUAAUCUGCCCUUGACAUCGGGAUAGCCCGGGGAAACCCGGAUUAAUACCGAAUAGCCUCCGGAGCCUUCGGGCGCCGGAGAAAAGGUAGCUUCGGCCUCUGGUCGAGGAUGAGCCCGCGGCGGAUUAGCUUGUUGGCGGGGUAACGGCCCACCAAGGCGACGAUCCGUAGCUGGUCUGAGAGGACGAUCAGCCACACUGGGACUGAGACACGGCCCAGACUCCUACGGGAGGCAGCAGUGGGGAAUCUUGCGCCAAUGCGGGAAACCGUGACGCAGCGACGCCGCGUGGGGGAAGAAGGCCUUCGGGUUGUAAACCUCUUUCAGGAGGGACGAAGCUACUCGGGUUGAUAGCCCAGAGGGUGACGGUACCUCCAGAAGAAGCCCCGGCUAACUACGUGCCAGCCGCCGCGGUAACAC
rnacentral:rRNA from 1 species